GACGAACGCUGGCGGCGUGCUUAACACAUGCAAGUCGAACGGAGUGGCGAACGGGUGAGUAACACGUGGGUGAUCUGCCUUGCACUUCGGGAUAAGCUGGGGAAACUGGGUGUAAUACCGGAUAGUGCAAGAUUAGCUCGCGGCCGAUCAGCUUGUUGGUGGGGUAAUGGCCUACCAAGGCGUCGACGGGUAGCCGGCCUGAGAGGGUGUACGGCGACAUUGGGACUGAGAGACGUCCCAGAUGCCAACGGGAGGCAGCAGUGGGGAAUAUUGCACGAUGGUCGGAAGGCUGAUGCAGCGACGUCGGGUGGGGGAUGAGGGGUUUCGGGUUGUAAACUCCUUUCGACAGGGACGCGGUACCUGUAUAAGAAGCACCGGCUAACUACGUGCCAGCAGCCGCGGUAAUAC
rnacentral:rRNA from 1 species